GACGAACGCUGGCGGCGUGCUUAACACAUGCAAGUCGAACGGAAAGGCCCUGCUUUUGUGGGGUGCUCGAGUGGCGAACGGGUGAGUAACACGUGAGUAACCUGCCCUUGACUUUGGGAUAACUUCAGGAAACUGGGGCUAAUACCGGAUAGGAGCUCCUGCUGCAUGGGGGGGGUUGGAAAGUUUCGGCGGUUGGGGAUGGACUCGCGGCUUAUCAGCUUGUGGGGGGGGUAGUGGCUUACCAAGGCUUUGACGGGUAGCCGGCCUGAGAGGGUGACCGGCCACAUUGGGCCUGAGAUACGGCCCAGACUCCUACGUGAGGCAGCAGUGGGGAAUAUUGCACAAUGGGCGGAAGCCUGAUGCAGCAACGCCGCGUGCGGGAUGACGGCCUUCGGGUUGUAAACCGCUUUCGCCUGUGACGAAGCGUGAGUGACGGUAAUGGGUAAAGAAGCACCGGCUAACUACGUG
rnacentral:rRNA from 1 species